GAGUCUGAUGGAGCACGCCGCGUGAGUGAAGAAGGGUUUCGGCUCGUAAAACUCUGUUGUUAGAGAAGAACAGCCGUGAGAGCAACUGCUCACGGUAUGACGGUAUCUAACCAGAAAGUCACGGCUAACUACGUGCCAGCAGCCGCGGUAAUACGUAGGUGGCAAACGUUGUCCGGAUUUAUUGGGCGUAAAGGGAGCGCAGGCGGUUUAUUAAGUCUGAUGUGAAAGCCUUCGGCUUAACCGGAGAAGUGCAUCGGAAACUGAUAAACUUGAGUGCAGAAAAGGAUAGUGGAACUUCAUGUGUAGCGGUGAAAUGCGUAGAUAUAUGAAGGAACACCAGUGGCGAAGGCGGCUAUCUGGUCUGUAACUGACGCUGAGGCUCGAAAGCAUGGGUAGCAAACAGGAUUAGAUACCCUGGUAGUCCAUGCCGUAAACGAUGAAUGCUAGGUGUUGGAAGGUUUCCGCCUUUCAGUGCCGCAGCUAACGCAUUAAGCAUUCCGCCUGGGGAGUACGACCGCAAGGUUGAAACUCAAAGGAAUUGACGGGGACCCGCACAAGCGGUGGAGCAUGUGGUUUAAUUCGAUGCUACGCGAAGAACCUUACCAGGACUUGACAUCUUCUGCCAAUCUAAGAGAUUAGACGUUCCCUUCGGGGACAGAAUGACAGGUGGUGCAUGGUUGUCGUCAGCUCGUGUCGUGAGAUGUUGGGUUAAGUCCCGCAACGAGCGCAACCCUUGUCUUUAGUUGCCAGCAUUAAGUUGGGCACUCUAGAGAGACUGCCGGUGAUAAACCGGAGGAAGGUGGGGAUGACGUCAAAUCAUCAUGCCCCUUAUGUCCUGGGCUACACACGUGCUACA
rnacentral:rRNA from 2 species